rnacentral:lncRNA from 1 species
GAAAAGCAAAGUGAGAGCUGCACAGACCAUCUGUACCACCGCCCCAGACACCACAGCCUGAGACACUUGGGUGUGGGCUGGGUGCUGAGACUUAGGCUCCUGAGGUCAGUUCUGGAGAGAGAACUAGGGUUGACUGUGUGGAGACAGCCUUAGAGGCUAGGGAGCAGUGUGACACAGGCUGGGGAGUGGAAUGCCACAUCUGAGGGAACCUGGGAGGAGGUUUGGGCCAACAGAAAAAGCAAGGCACCAUUGUUGGGGAGGACGAGAGGAGGAGGGAUGGACUGCCACAGAAAUAUCUUUCCAUGCAUGCAAGUGGGCUCUCAGAGUGUGGGGCACAGGCUAUGGGUGGUGAAGAGGCCACUUACUUGGGCUAUGGGAGACCAGGUGCCACUUCUGCAGACUAAGGGUGGCCAGGCACCUCUUGUAUGGGCUAAGGGCAAUGGGGCGCUAAGCAUGAUAUGGUGCAUCUUGCGUGAUCUAUAGGCAGCAGGGACAAACCACAUCAGUUAUCUCAGAAACCAGAGGGAGGCAUGGCCUGCCAUUAGGGGAAUGUGAACAGGCUCCACCUGUGGCCCCAGUCACCUCAGAGGCUGGCAAAAAAGAGAGGCACUGCAACUGAGCACCACCUGUUGUUGCUCUCACUCUCCUGGGAACACACCGGCCCUGCUUCCACCACUGCCAAAUUCUCUGGGAAGCGCCCAUACCUGAUCACUGUCACUUCCCAGGACCCUGCAACUAGGAGCAGCCUGUUCAGCACCUCUUGCAUGGACUAAGGGGGUUGUGGUGCUUCUUGUGUGAUGUACAGGUGCCAAAGGCAAACUACUGCAGUUAUCUCUGAUUCCAGAGGUGGGCAUGGCCCACCACUACUAGGGGUCCAUGAACAGGCACCGUUUGUGGCCCCAAUCACCUCAGAAGACACCACAGAGGAAGGCACUGUGGCUGAACACCACCUGUUGUUGCUCUCACUUCCCUGGAAACUCACACACCCUGCCACUGCCACUGGCAAAUGCUCAAGGCACCACUUAAAUCUGCCUGAGGCUCAUUAACAUUUCCCAGGGUUCUGCAAUUAGGAGUAGCUAUGCCACCUUCCUGCAGGUCCUUACCACUGUCAAGAGCCCAGCAACCAAGUACUGACUACUAGUCCUGCCUGUUGCCUCCUUCUCCCUGGAUACACACUCAGCACCCUGGGGACAAGAGCCAGCUCAUACCAAAAUCCAAAGAAAGAGACAUCAAAUAUCCAAACUCCCAUACCAAAAAUAAAUAGUAACCUCCACAAAAUACAAAGGGACACUUUUGCAUAGAAGUAGCCCUCCAAGACUACAGUAGUUGCUUUCCCUAAACUCAUAGAAAAAGAAAAAUAGAAGUGAAAUGAAGAAGUUCAGGAACCAUUCCCAGUUAAAAGAAUAGGAGAAUUCCCCUGAAGCACCAAACAAUGAAACAAACCUCUGCAGUCUAAUAGACACUGAAUUCAGAAGGGAGCUAGUGAAAAUACUGAAGGAAUUAAAGAUGAAUAUGAAGGAAUCAAGAGCAGAUAUAAACAUUGAUAUAGAUUACUUUAGAAAAGAACUAGAAAACAUAAAGAGGAGCCAAGAAAAAAUAGAAAAUUAAUUUGCAGAGAUGCACACUGAGCUAAUGGCACUAAAGAGCAGAAUGAAUAAUGCAGAGGAAUGAAUUAGUGACUUGGAAGAUAGACUAAUGGAAAUCACCCAAUCAGGACUGCAGACAGAAAACCAAAUGAAAAAAUGUGGAAACAAUAUAAGAGAUUUAUGGCAUAAUAUAAAGCGGGACAAUCUACUCAUAAUAGGAAUUCCAGAAGGAGAAGAAAAAGAAAAGGGGAUUGAAAAUAUAGUUGAAGAAAUUAUGUCCGAAAACUUUCCAAAUCUAAAGGAAACAGAUGUUAAGAUACAGGAAGCACAGAAGGUCCCCAAAAGCUGAACCCAAACAGGCCCAUACCAAGACAUAUUAUAAUAAAAAUGGCAAAUGUUAAAGAGAGGAUUCUAAAGGCAGCAAGAGAUACACAAAGUGUUCAUUAUAAGGGAACCCCCAUAAGGCUACCAGCUGAUUACAGAAUCACUACAGGCCAGAAGAGAGUGGCAAGAUAUAUUCAAAGUUCAGAAAGGGAAAAAAUUUGCAGCCUAGAAUAUUCUAUCCAGCAAGGAUAACUUUUAAAAUGGAGAAAUAAAGAAUUUCUCCAACGAACAAAAGCUAAGAGCAUACAGCAAUACUAAAACCAUUCUAAAAGAAAUACUGAAAGGGCUUCUCUAAAUAAAAAAGAAGUAAGAAGAAAUAGAAUGGAGGAAAUCACAAUUGGAAAGCAAUCACUUAAGUAAGCCAGUAUACGGAUCUAAAAGGGAAAAAAAUGUUAUUGUAAAAGUGAUGAUAAACCCAAGGAAUGGUAUAAGGACAAACAUGAAGUUGUUUAAAAAGGACUUCAAAAUCACAGAAUGUGGGGAAGGAAAGUAAGAAAAUAUAGACUUUUUUUUUAAAUAAUGGGUUUGAGUCUACAUAACUAUCAGGAUAAAGCAAGCAGAUAUAGAAAGGGGUUAACAUACUUGAAAAACAGGGCAACCACAAAUCAAAACUAAAUAUUACAUUCACAAAAACUAAAAAGGACACAAGCAUAAAAUAAAAGGAAAUCACCCAACCAAAAAAGAAAGGAACAAAGGAGAAACAUAGAAUCAACUGGAAAACAAGGUUUAAAAUGGCAAUAGAUACAUAUUUAUCAAUAAUUACCUUAAAUGUUAAUGGACCGAAUGCUCCAAUCAAAAUACACAGAGUGGCAGAUUGGAUAAAAAAGCAAGAGCCUACAAUAUGCUGUCUAUAAGAGACUCACCUUAGGGCAAAGAAAACACAUAGAUUGAAAGUAAGGGGGUGGGAAAAGAUAUUUCAUGUCAAUGGACAAGAUAGGAGAGCAGUAGUUGUGAUACUCAUAUCAGAAAAAAUAGAUUUUAAAAUGAAUGCCAUAAAGAAACAAAAAGAAGGACACUAUUUAAUGAUAAAAGGGCCCAUUCAAGAAGAGGAUAUUACAAUCGCCAAUAUAUAUGCCCCUAAUAUAAGGGCAUGAAGUUACAUACAACAAAUAAAAACAGACAUAAAAGGAGAAGUUGAUGGGAAAACAAUAGUAGUUGGAGAGUUUAACACCCCACUCAUCAAUGGACAGGUCCUCUAGACAGAAAAUCAAUAAGGAAACAGAGAUCCUAAAUGACACAAUAGAAAGUUAGACUUAAUUGACAUUUUCAGGACAUUACAUCCAAAAAAUCAGAAUAUACAUUCUUUUCAAGUCCACAUGGAACAUUCUUAAGGAUGACCACAUACUGAGGCAUAAAACUAACCUCAACAAAUUUAAGAGUAUAGAAAUUAUUUCAAGUAUCUUCUCUGACCACAAUGGCAUGAAACUAGAAAACCACCACAGAAAAAGAAAUGAGAAAAAACUGACUACAUGGAGAUUAAACAACAUGCUACUAAAAAACCAAUGGGUCAAUGAGGAAAUCAAAUAAGAAAUUUUUUUAAAAAAUACCUCAAGACAAAUGAUAUUGAAGACACAACCAUUCAAAAUCUAUAGGAUGCUGCAAAAACUGUGCUUAGAGGAGAAUUCACAGUGAUACAGGUCUUCCUCAAAAAAGAAGAAAAAUCUCAAAUCGACAACUUAACCUACCACCUAAAUUAAUUAAAAAAAGACAAAUAAACAAAACCUAAAGUUAGCAGAAGGAAGGAAAACAUAAAGAG